rnacentral:rRNA from 1 species
AGCGAACGCUGGCGGCAGGCCUAACACAUGCAAGUCGAACGAACCUUUCGGGGUUAGUGGCGGACGGGGGAGGAACACGUGGGAACGUGCCUUUAGGUUCGGAAUAACUCAGGGAAACUUGUGCUAAUACCGAAUGUGCCCUUCGGGGGAAAGAUUUAUCGCCUUUAGAGCGGCCCGCGUCUGAUUAGCUAGUUGGUUGAGGUAAUGGCUCACCAAGGCGACGAUCAGUAGCUGGUCUGAGAGGAGGAUCAGCCACAUUGGGACUGAGACACGGCCCAAACUCCUACGGGAGGCAGCAGUGGGGAAUCUUGCGCAAUGGGCGAAAGCCUGACGCAGCCAUGCCGCGUGAAUGAUGAAGGUCUUAGGAUUGUAAAAUUCUUUCACCGGGGACGAUAAUGACGGUACCCGGAGAAGAAGCCCCGGCUAACUUCGUG